rnacentral:rRNA from 1 species
CCUAACUUAGCGGCGGACGGGUGAGUAAUACUUAGGAAUCUGCCUAUUAGUGGGGGACAACAGUUGGAAACGACUGCUAAUACCGCAUACGCCCUACGGGGGAAAGCAGGGGAUCUUCGGACCUUGCGCUAAUAGAUGAGCCUAAGUCAGAUUAGCUAGUUGGUGGGGUAAAGGCCUACCAAGGCGACGAUCUGUAGCUGGUCUGAGAGGAUGAUCAGCCACACCGGGACUGAGACACGGCCCGGACUCCUACGGGAGGCAGCAGUGGGGAAUAUUGGACAAUGGGGGAAACCCUGAUCCAGCCAUGCCGCGUGUGUGAAGAAGGCCUUUUGGUUGUAAGGCACUUUAAGCAGUGAAGAAGACUCUUCGGUUAAUGCCCGGAGACGAUGACAUUAGCUGCAGAAUAAGCACCGGCUAACUCUGUGCCAGCAGCCGCGGUAAUACAGAGGGUGCAAGCGUUAAUCGGAAUUACUGGGCGUAAAGCGAGCGUAGGUGGCUUGAUAAGUCAGAUGUGAAAUCCCCGGGCUUAACCUGGGA